AUUGAACGCUGGCGGCAGGCCUAACACAUGCAAGUCGAACGGUAACAGGAAGCAGCUUGCUGCUUUGCUGACGAGUGGCGGACGGGUGAGUAAUGUCUGGGAAACUGCCUGAUGGAGGGGGAUAACUACUGGAAACGGUAGCUCAUACCGCAUAACGUCGCAAGACCAAAGAGGGGGACCUUAGGGCCUCUUGCCAUCGCAUGUGCCCAGAUGGGAUUAGCUAGUAGGUGGGGUAACGGCUCACCUAGACGACGAUCCCUAGCUGGUCUGAGAGGAUGACCAGCCACACUGGAACUGAGACACGGUCCAGACUCCUACGGGAGGCAGCAGUGGGGAAUAUUGCACAAUGGGCGAAAGCCUGAUGCAGCCAUGCCGCGUGUAUGAAGAAGGCCUUCGGGUUGUAAAGUACUUUCAGCGGGGAGGAAGGGAGUAAAGUUAAUACCUGUGCUGAUUGACGUUACCCGCAGAAGAAGCCCCGGCUAACUACGUG
rnacentral:rRNA from 1 species